GGGGUGUGGAGGUGUGUGGUGGGGUGUGGAGGUGGUGUGGUAGGGUGUGGAGGUGGUGUAGUGGUGUGUGGAGGUGUGUGGUGGGGUGUGGAGGUGGUGUAGUGGUGUGUGGAGGUGUGUGGUGGUGUGUGGAGGUGGUGUAGUGGUGUGUGGAGGUGUGUAGUGGUGUGUGGAGGUGAUGUAGUGGUGUGUGGAGGUGGUGUAGUGGUGUGUGGAGGCGUGUGGUGGGGUGUGGAGGUGGUGUAGUGGUGUGUGGAGGUGUGUGGUGGUGUGUGGAGGUGGUGUAGUGGUGUGUGGAGGCGUGUGGAGGUGGUGUAGUGGGGUGUGGAGGUGUGUAGUGGUGUGUGGAGGUGGUGUAGUGGUGUGUGGAGGUGGUGUAGUGGGGUGUGGAGGUGUGUAGUGGUGUGUGGAGGUGGUGUAGUGGUGUGUGGAGGUGGUGUAGUGGUGUGUGGAGGCGUGUGGAGGUGGUGUAGUGGUGUGUGGAGGCGUGUGGAGGUGGUGUAGUGGUGUGUGGAGGCGUGUGGAGGUGGUGUGUGGAGGUGGUGUGGAGGUGUGUGGUGGGGUGUGGAGGUGGUGUGGUGGGGUGUGGAGGUGGUGUAGUGGUGUGUGGAGGUGGUGUAGUGGUGUGUGGAGGUGGUGUAGUGGUGUGUGGAGGUGUGUGGUGGGGUGUGGAGGUGGUGUAGUGGUGUGUGGAGGUGUGUGGUGGUGUGUGGAGGUGGUGUAGUGGUGUGUGGAGGUGUGUAGUGGUGUGUGGAGGUGGUGUAGGGGUGUGUGGAGGUGGUGUAGUGGGGUUUGGAGGUGUGUGAAGGUGGUGUGGUGGGGUGUGG
ensembl:lncRNA